rnacentral:rRNA from 1 species
AUGCAAGUCGAGCGGGGGAAGGUAGCUUGCUACCGGACCUAGCGGCGGACGGGUGAGUAAUGCUUAGGAAUCUGCCUAUUAGUGGGGGACAACAUCUCGAAAGGGAUGCUAAUACCGCAUACGUCCUACGGGAGAAAGCAGGGGAUCUUCGGACCUUGCGCUAAUAGAUGAGCCUAAGUCGGAUUAGCUAGUUGGUGGGGUAAAGGCCUACCAAGGCGACGAUCUGUAGCGGGUCUGAGAGGAUGAUCCGCCACACUGGGACUGAGACACGGCCCAGACUCCUACGGGAGGCAGCAGUGGGGAAUAUUGGACAAUGGGGGGAACCCUGAUCCAGCCAUGCCGCGUGUGUGAAGAAGGCCUUAUGGUUGUAAAGCACUUUAAGCGAGGAGGAGGCUACUUUAGUUAAUACCUAGAGAUAGUGGACGUUACUCGCAGAAUAAGCACCGGCUAACUCUGUGCCAGCAGCCGCGGUAAUACAGAGGGUGCGAGCGUUAAUCGGAUUUACUGGGCGUAAAGCGUGCGUAGGCGGCUUAUUAAGUCGGAUGUGAAAUCCCCGAGCUUAACUUGGGAAUUGCAUUCGAUACUGGUGAGCUAGAGUA